rnacentral:lncRNA from 1 species
UUCCUUAUAUCCAACCUGAACCUCCCCUGGUGCAACUUGAGGCCAUUUCCUCGUGUCCUAUCACCUGUGACUUGGGAGAAGAGACCGACCCCCGCCGCCGUACACCCUCCUUUCAGGAACGGAAGGUUGUAACUGGCCUCAGCAUUAUGGCUGGUCACAAACCGGAUCUUCGAGAAAAUCAAAAGAAGCUGAAAACUCCAGUUCCCCGAGCAGUUCUUCUGAGGGAGGAGAAGAAUGAAGCAGAACGGAUACAGGUAAGGUGAGCUGCGCAGAGCAAACAAGCAGAGUUGAAGUAUUAAUCUCUCCUUCCCGUACUGAAAUCCCUGCUUCUACUCCAGCAGGCAA